rnacentral:rRNA from 1 species
UAACGCGUGGGUAACCUGCCUCAUACAGGGGGAUAACAGUUAGAAAUGACUGCUAAUACCGCAUAAGCGCACAGUGCUGCAUGGCACAGUGUGAAAAACUCCGGUGGUAUGAGAUGGACUCGCGUCUGAUUAGCUAGUUGGUGGGGUAACGGCCUACCAAGCCGACGAUCAGUAGCCGACCUGAGAGGGUGACCGGCCACAUUGGGACUGAGACACGGCCCAA